GACGAACGCUGGCGGCGUGGAUUAGGCAUGCAAGUCGGACGGUAGAGCUUUAUCGUAAGAUAGAGUUUGAGAGUGGCGAACGGGUGAGUAACACGUAGGAAUCUACCCUUAAGACGGGGACAACCCAGGGAAACUUGGGCUAAUACCGGAUGAGAGUGCGAGAGAUUGCAUUUAAAAGGAUGGCGAAAGUUGUCGCUUAGGGAUGAGCCUGCGGUCUAUUAGUUAGUUGGUGAGGUAAGAGCUCACCAAGGCGAUGAUAGAUAGGCGGCCUUAACGGGUGGUCGCCCACACUGGGAUUGAGAUACGGCCCAGACUCCUACGGGAGGCAGCAGGCUAGAAAUUUGGGCGAAUGGGGGAAACCCGUAGACCCAGUGACGCCGCGUGCAGGAAGGAGCCCUUCGGGUGUAAACUGCUGUCGUGUAGGGAGAAGGGUACUAAGGUGAACAAUCUUAGUACUUGACGGUAACUACAGGAGGAAGCCCAGGCUAACCUCGUG
rnacentral:rRNA from 1 species